rnacentral:rRNA from 1 species
AUUGAACGCUGGCGGCAGGCCUAACACAUGCAAGUCGAACGAGUGGCGGACGGGUGAGUAAUGUCUGGGAAACUGCCAGAUGGAGGGGGAUAACUACUGGAAACGGUAGCUAAUACCGCAUACCAUCGGAUGUGCCCAGAUGGGAUUAGCGAGUAGGUGGGGUAAUGGCUCACCAAGGCGACGAUCCCUAGCUGGUAUGAGAGGAUGACCGGCCACACUGGAACUGAGACACGGUCCAGACUCCUACGGGAGGCAGCAGUGGGGAAUAUUGCACAAUGGGCGAAAGCCUGAUGCAGCCAGGCCGCGUGUGUGAUGAAGGCCUUCGGGUUGUAAAUCACUUUCAUCGGGGAGGCGUUACUCGCAGAGAAAGCACCGGCUAACUCCGUGCCAGCAGCCGCGGUAAUUC